GACGAACGCUGGCGGCGUGCUUAACACAUGCAAGUCGAACGGAAAGGCCCUGCUUUUGUGGGGUGCUCGAGUGGCGAAGGGGUGAGUAACACGUGAGUAACCUGCCCUUGACUUUGGGAUAACUUCAGGAAACUGGGGCUAAUACCGGAUAGGAGCUCCUGCUGCAUGGUGGGGGUUGGAAAGUUUCGGCGGUUGGGGAUGGACUCGCGGCUUAUCAGCUUGUUGGUGGGGUAGUGGCUUACCAAGGCUUUGACGGGUAGCCGGCCUGAGAGGGUGACCGGCCACAUUGGGACUGAGAUACGGCCCAGACUCCUACGGGAGGCAGCAGUGGGGAAUAGUGCACAAUGGGCGGAAGCCUGAUGCAGCAACGCCGCGUGCGGGAUGACGGCCUUCGGGUUGUAAACCGCUUUCGCCUGUGACGAAGCGUGAGUGACGGUAAUGGGUAAAGAAGCACCGGCUAACUACGUG
rnacentral:rRNA from 1 species